rnacentral:rRNA from 1 species
UACGUAGGUGACAAGCGUUGUCCGGAUUUACUGGGCGUAAAGAGCGCGCAGGCGGUCGAUCAAGUCGAGUGUGAAAGCCCACGGCUCAACUGGGGAGGGUCAUUCGAUACUGAUCGACUCGAAGGCAGGAGAGGGUAGUGGAAUUCCCGGUGUAGUGGUGAAAUGCGUAGAUAUCGGGAGGAACACCAGUGGCGAAGGCGACUACCUGGCCUGUUCUUGACGCUGAGGCGCGAAAGCUAGGGGAGCAAACGGG